UGACCUAGCUCUUCACUUAAGUAUGGAAAGU
rnacentral:piRNA from 1 species